rnacentral:rRNA from 1 species
GACGAACGCUGGCGGCGUGCUUAACACAUGCAAGUCGAACGGAAAGGCCCUGCUCUUGUUGGGUGCUCGAUUGGCGAACGGGUGAGUAACACAUGUGUAACCUCCCCUUGACUUUCGGAUAACUUCACGAAACUGGGGCUAAUACCGGAUAUGAGCUCCUGCUGCAUGGUGGGGGUUGGAAAGUUUCGGCGGUUGGGGAUGGACUCGCGGCUUAUCCGCUUGUUGGUGGGGUAGUGGCUUACCAAGCCUUUGGCGGAUAGCCGGCCUGAGAGGGUGACCGGGCACAUGGGGACUGAGAGACGGCCCAGACUCCUACGGGAGGCAGCAGGGGGGAGUAUGGCACAGUGGGCGGAAGCCUGAUGCGGCGACGCCGGGUUCGGGAUGACGGCCUUCGGGUUGUGAACCGCUUUCGCCGGAGACGAAGCGUGAGUGACGGUAAUGGGUAAAGAAGCAACGGCUAACUACGUG